rnacentral:tRNA from 1 species
GGAGACGUCGCAUAGUCCGGCCGAGUGCACNCACCCUGCUAAGGUGGAGUCCCCUCACGGGGACCAGGGGUUCAAAUCCCCUCGUCUCCG